CCUGGCGGCCGUAGCGCGGUGGUCCCACCUGACCCCAUGCCGAACUCAGAAGUGAAACGCCGUAGCGCCGAUGGUAG
rnacentral:rRNA from 7 species